GAUGAACGCUGGCGGCGUGCCUAAUACAUGCAAGUCGAGCGAACGGACGAGAAGCUUGCUUCUCUGAUGUUAGCGGCGGACGGGUGAGUAACACGUGGAUAACCUACCUAUAAGACUGGGAUAACUUCGGGAAACCGGAGCUAAUCCCGGAUAAUAUUUUGAACCGCAUGGUUCAAAAGUGAAAUACGGUCUUGCUGUAAGUUAUAGAUGGAUCCGCGCUGCAUUAGCUAGUUGGUAAGGUAACGGCUUACCAAGGCAACGAUGCAUAGCCGACCUGAGAGGGUGAUCGGCCACACUGGAACUGAGACACGGUCCAGACUCCUACGGGAGGCAGCAGUAGGGAAUCUUCCGCAAUGGGCGAAAGCCUGACGGAGCAACGCCGCGUGAGUGAUGAAGGUCUUCGGAUCGUAAAACUCUGUUAUUAGGGAAGAACAUAUGUGUAAGUAACUGUGCACAUCUUGACGGUACCUAAUCAGAAAGCCACGGCUAACUACGUG
rnacentral:rRNA from 1 species